GCAGGGGCGGGGCUGGCGCGCCGAGUCCUCUGACGGCCCCAGCCGGGGAAUUUCAAUUUGAAACGCAGCGGAGGGAGGAGGCGGCGCGGCGGCCGGGGCGGCUGGGCUGAGGCUGGACGGGUCCCCGUGGCGAACGUGGUCCCGGGCUGCGGCGUCCGGCUUAAGCUCCGAUCAUGACUACAGAGGUAGGCUCUGCGUCUGAAGUGAAGAAAGAACCCGAUCAGGUGGGUGCAGAUGCCGCCAAGGAGAAACCUAAUGAAGUAACAGAAAACCAGAAUCAGUCAACCGAACCAUCUCCUACAGCUGAGAGCCAAAGCAGUCCACGCCGCCGCCAGAAGAGAGAGAAGGAUCCAUCUGAGAGCAGGGGCAUUUCCCGAUUCAUCCCUCCAUGGCUUAAGAAGCAGAAGUCCUACAACUUAGUAGUGGCCAAAGACGGAGGAGACAAAAGAGAGCCCAGCCAAGCUGUCGUGGAAGAACAGAUUCUGGAUAAGGAGGAGUCUCUUUCUGAGGAAGAAAGGCAGGCGAAGGGUGAUGCUGAAGAAAUAGCUUCAAGGAAACAGCAGGAAACAAAGGUUGAGGAAGAAAAACCUGCAGUGAGCAGUCCUGAGACACAGCCUGCCGAAGCUGUGCCAAAGAAAGGAGAAGAGAAGGUAAAGGAGAUACAGGAAGACAAAUCCGAAGGGGAAGCAGCCAAGAGAGAGACAAAGGAAGUGCAGACCAAUGAGGUAAAAGUGGAGAAGACCUCCCAGAAAGUCGCCAAGAAGACCAAGACCGUGCCGUGUAAAGUGACCCUCCUAGAUGGCACCGAGUUCAGCUGUGACCUGGAGAAACGUGCUAAGGGCCAAGUGUUAUUUGACAAAGUAUGUGAACACCUUAAUCUCCUGGAAAAGGACUACUUUGGACUUUCUAUUCAGGAAAACACUGAGCAAAAAAACUGGCUGGAUCCUGCAAAAGAAAUAAAGAAACAACUGCGAAACCUUCCUUGGCUGUUCACCUUCAAUGUGAAGUUUUAUCCUCCCGAUCCUUCUCAGCUGACUGAAGAUAUCACCAGAUACUUCCUGUGCCUUCAGCUCCGUCAGGACAUCGCUUCCGGCCGCCUGCCCUGUUCUUUCGUGACGCACGCGCUCCUGGGCUCCUACACACUUCAGGCCGAACUCGGGGACCACGACCCAGAGCAGCAUGGCAGCAGCAACCUCAGUGACUUCCAGUUUGCUCCCACACAGACUAAGGAGCUGGAAGAAAAGGUGGCCGAGCUGCACAGAACCCACAGGGGCUUAUCUCCAGCGCAAGCUGAUUCUCAGUUCUUAGAAAAUGCAAAGAGGCUUUCCAUGUACGGCGUUGACCUACAUCAUGCCAAGGAUUCCGAAGGUGUGGACAUCAAGCUGGGCGUGUGUGCUAAUGGACUUCUUAUUUACAAAGACAAGCUGAGAAUCAAUCGUUUUGCUUGGCCUAAAAUCUUGAAAAUUUCCUAUAAGCGCAGCAACUUCUACAUUAAAGUGAGACCAGCAGAGCUGGAACAGUUUGAGAGCACCAUUGGAUUUAAGCUGCCAAACCACCGGGCCGCAAAAAGACUAUGGAAAGUGUGUGUGGAGCAUCAUACUUUCUACAGGCUUGUGUCUCCAGAGCAGCCACCAAAGGCCAAGUUCCUGACGUUAGGGUCCAAAUUUCGCUACAGCGGCCGCACCCAGGCACAGACCCGACAGGCUAGCACUCUCAUCGACCGGCCUGCGCCGCACUUUGAGCGCACCUCCAGCAAGCGGGCCUCCGAGAUCCUGGACGGAGCUCUGAUUGGGAUUGUGGACCAAAGUCUUAUGAAGGAUUUUCCUGGCCCUGCUGGUGAGGUUUCGACAUAUGGUCCUGGAGUAGUCACCACAGCUGUGGUACAAGAUGGGGAUGGCAGAAGGGACAUCAGAAGCCCAGUAAAAGGCCCACAUGUGCAUGUCACUGAAGGAAAGAAAAAUUCCUUGAGAGUAGAAGGGGAUAAUAUUUAUGUCAGACAUAGCAAUUUAAUGUUGGAGGACCUGGAUAGAGCCCAGGAGGAAAUACUGAAACAUCAGGCUAGCAUUAGUGAACUCAAGCGCAAUUUUAUGGAGUCCACACCUGAGCCGCGCCCUAAUGAGUGGGAAAAACGACGUAUCACACCUCUGUCUCUACAGACCCACGGGAGCCUAGAAGAGGAGAUAACAUCACUUUUGUUUAGUGAAAAGGGCUUUUCUGGUAGCGUGAAAGCCUCCUUCAGCUCAGCCGCCAGUUGGACAGCAGAGGGCGCUGUUGUGAGCUCUAAUGCCCCUUCUGAAAAGCUUUCUUCCUGGCCCUUCUCAAAGUUGCCUGAGACACGCGCUCCCGAGUCCGAAGGGCCUUGCGCCGGAGCCAGUGAUGCUGUCAAGAGUUCACAUGAGACUCUGAAUGUAGUGGAGGAGAAGCAGCAGGCAGAGGUUGGGAAAGACGAAAGAGUAAUCACAGAAGAAAUGAACGGUAAAGAGCUAUCAGCUGGGAGUGGUCCUGGGGAGAUGCCCAAGGUGGAGCCUCUGACACAGAAAGACUCCACCUCCCUGUCUUCUGAGAGCAGCAGCAGCAGUGAGAGCGAGGAGGAAGAUGUGGGAGAGUACCGGCCCCACCACCGAGUCACCGAGGGCACCAUAAGGGAAGAGCAGGAGGAGGAGGAGGAAGAGGUGGAGGAAGAAGCCGGCCGAGCAGCCAAGGUAGUAGAGAGGGAGCAAGCAGUGCCAGAAGCCAGCCCAGGCAAACAAGCAGGGCCCAGUGUAAUCACAGUAGAAACAGUGACCCAGGAAAAUGUAGGGGAGCCCACGAUGCCUGCUGAGAAGAGUGUAAACGAAGGCGCUAUUAAGCAAGACAUGAGCGAAGAAGCAGAGGAGGAGCAACAUAAAGUUAACGGAGAGGUGGCUCAUGUUGACAUUGAUGUUUUGCCACAGAUUAUUUGUUGUUCAGAGCCACCAGUGGUAAAAACAGAGAUGGUAACAAUUUCUGAUGCCUCACAAAGGACAGAAAUCUCCACCAAGGAAGUCCCUAUUGUCCAAACUGAGACCAAAACCAUCACUUAUGAGUCUCCACAGAUUGAUGGCGGGGCUGGUGGUGACUCGGGCACGUUACUGACCGCACAAACCAUCACAUCUGACUCCGUGUCGACAACGACAACCACACACAUCACCAAGACUGUGAAAGGUGGAAUAUCUGAAACAAGAAUUGAGAAACGCAUCGUGAUCACAGGAGAUGCAGAUAUUGAUCAUGACGAGUUCACACAAGACGCCCUUCUCUGAGAUAAGGCUCCUGCUUUUCUCCCUUCCUGACUCCUGCUUGCCAUCCUUCCUGCUCCCCCCACUUGCUUCUGCUCAGAUUGGUGGCUGGGAUCCUGUCUGAAUUCUCUUUUGUCCUGGUACAGGCGCUGGCCCAGGCCAUCAGGGAAGCUCGAGAGCAGCACCCUGACAUGUCAGUCACCAGAGUGGUGGUGCACAAAGAAACGGAGUUGGAGGAAGGGGAUGACUAAGAGUGGCCUCCUGACUGCUGUUUUUGUUCUCUACACCUCUCUACCUCUCAACUAUUUACCACACUACAGCUGCAGCAUCAUUUUCAACACACAGAUCAGCCCUUCCUCAAAACCAAAGGAGAGUCAAACCCAGUGCUCUCUCCUGGGCAGCCAGUACCCUGUAGGAAAUUGUCACCUACCAGCUCUGACAUGUCACCCACCUUGGACAGUGCUCUGGGUCAUUGCAAUCAUCAGACAAGUUGAUUGCUUCUGUCCGAGUACUCUCUCUGGAUUCAUUUUGGUGGGCUUCAGAAAUUUUCAAUUUUUAAACAGCAUUCGACUUUAUGACACUGAAGAAUUUUGAUCAUUCCAAGUCUUAAUGCCACACCACUACUCCAGAGAAUAUAUCCUACGACUGGUAACAAUGACCAGAAGCCUGAAGAAUUAAAAUGCCAACACCAAACCUUACCUUAACAGCUCUGGUCGAUACUGUUCCCUUGCAUUUAAUAUAUUAUUUUGUUUUAUAACCACUUUUAAAUAUUUAGUUCUGUUUUUUGGUUAGAGUCUUAGUUUUGUUUCCUGGUUAAUUUUGUACAAGUACCUGCUUUUUAUGACAUUUUGAACAAAUGAUAGUGAACAAAGCCAGCCCAAGCUGGUAGGGUGCUGUUCACUUGAACGGGUGCUGUUGUGCUGAAAGGAAACGGACUAAUUUAGAUAGUAGCUUUCCUUUUUUCCAAAUUCUUCCCAUUGAAUUCUUACAGUUAAUAUUGACAGUUUUCUGAUUACAGUAAGUAUGCUGUACGAGAAACUAUUAAUACAGAUUAAAAGCAUUUCUUACAUCUUGAAAUUUUUCUAAUGUUUUGAGAAUUUUAUGGGGGAUAUUUUUUGUAUCAAACCCUUUGGACCUUCCAGUCCUAUGGCUUUUUACUUUGAGUAGAAAGUCAGAUACUCUCUGUACUGGAAAAGUGAGGAAGUUGACUGACCAGGCACUGUGCUGAGAGACCCUGUCCCACCACGGUGCCAAUGCUUCUCGGACACAUGCUCUUCAGCAGCAUUCCAGAAACAGGAGGGAAGAAGAGACAAUGAAUCAUUCUUCCCUCCUAUUCCGAUAAUUUCAGGCAGCUCGAAACCUUAGUGCUUUCUCUCUUAACGUGUCCAAAUUUCAAUACUUUCCAUAUUUGAGCACUUGUGUAGGACAUUCGCUUUGUAUUAAUUCUCUUUUGUCUAUGUGUACAACUGACCUUUUGUUAUUGAGCAGGUGUAUCUCUUUCAAAUAGUUUGAUGACUCGCGCAGGCUCGAGGACCCCAGGGAGAGGAGGAGUAAGGGCUGUGGUGGUUUUGGGAUGGUUCUAAGAAAACUAUCUGCCGUGGAAAGCUGGAACCAGAGACCUGAUAGGGAUUUAUUAACUGCACCAAACCCUUUUUCUUCUGCUUUUGUCCCUAUGUAUAGUUACCAUGCUAGAUUAGAUUUAUAGCAGCUUUAAGUUGUAUUAAAUGAUAUUCUACUUUCUGUAAUACGGUUAUAAAAUAAAGUUUGUUUAUUCUCUACA